UACGUAGGGUGCAAGCGUUGUCCGGAAUUACUGGGCGUAAAGAGCGCGCAGGCGGUCGAUCAAGUCGAGUGUGAAAGCCCCCGGCUCAACUGGGGAGGGUCAUUCGAUACUGAUCGACUCGAAGGCAGGAGAGGGUAGUGGAAUUCCCGGUGUAGUGGUGAAAUGCGUAGAUAUCGGGAGGAACACCAGUGGCGAAGGCGACUACCUGGCCUGUUCUUGACGCUGAGGCGCGAAAGCUAGGGGAGCAAACGGG
rnacentral:rRNA from 1 species